UACGGGGGGGGCAAGCGUUGUUCGGAAUUACUGGGCGUAAAGGGCGCGUAGGCGGGCCGCCAAGUCUGUGGUGAAAUCCCCCGGCUCAACCGGGGAACGGCCGCGGAUACUGGAGGUCUCGAGGGAGGUAGGGGCAUGCGGAACUACGGGUGGAGCGGUGAAAUGCGUUGAUAUCCGUAGGAACUCCGGUGGCGAAGGCGGCGUGCUGGACCUCUUCUGACGCUGAGGCGCGAAAGCCAGGGGAGCGAACGGG
rnacentral:rRNA from 1 species